GCAGGCAGACUUCGUCCGGACUCCUACGGGAGCCGGACUCCGCCCAUGACUCCAAUUGCAGGUAGACUUCGUUCGGACUCCUACGGAAGCCGAACUUCGCCCCUAACUCCAAUUGCAGGUAGACUCUGCCCAGACUCCUACGGGAGCCAGACCUCAUCCCCAACUCCGGCUGCAGGAAGACUCUGUCCGGACUCCUACGGGAGCCAGACUCCGCCCACGACUCCAAUUGCAGGUAGACUUUGUCCGGACUCCUACGGGAGCCAGACUUCGCCCCUAACUCCGAUUGCAGAUAGACUCUGCCCAGACUCCUACGGGGGCCGGACCUCAUCUCCGACUCCGGCUACAGGAGAACUCUGUCCGGACUCCUACGGGGGUCGGACCUUGUCCCCGACUCCUGCUGCAGGCAGACUUCGUCCGGACUCCUAUGGGAGCUGGACUCCGUCCACGACUCCAAUUGCAGGUAGACUUUGUCCGGACUCCUACGGGAGCCGGACCUCACCCCUAACUCCAAUUACAGGUAGACUCUGCCCGGACUCCUACGGGGGCCAGACCUCGUCUCCGACUCUGACUGCAGGAAGACUCUGUCCGGACUCCUACGGGGGCCGGACCUCAUCCCCGACUCCAGCUGCAGGCAGACUUCGUCCAGACUCCUACGGGAGCCAGACUCCGCCCACGACUCCAAUUGCAAGUAGACUUUGUUCGGCUCCUAUGGGAGCCGGACCUCACCCCUAACUCCAAUUGCAGGUAGACUCCAUCCGGACUCCUACGGGAACCGGACCUCGUCCCCAACUCCGGCUACAGGAAGACUCUGUCCGGACUCCUACGGGAGUCGGACUCCGCCCACGACUCCAAUUGCAGGUAGACUUCGUCCGGACUCCUACGGGAGCCAGACUUCACCCCUAACUCCGAUUGCAGGUAGACUCUGCCCGGACUCCUACGGGGAUCGGACCCCGUCUCCGACUCCGGCUGCAGAAAGACUCUAUCCGGACUCCUACGGGGGUCGGACCUCAUCCCCGACCCCAGCUGCAGGCAGACUUCGUCCAGACUCCUACGGGAGCCAGACUCCACCCACGACUCCAAUUGCAAGUAGACUUCGUUCGGACUCCUACAGGAGCCGGACUUCGCCCCUAACUCCGAUUGCAGGUAGACUCUGCCCGGACUCCUACGGGGGCCGGACCUCAUCUCUGACUCCGACUACAGGUAGACUUCGUCCGAACUCCUACGGGAGCCGAACUCCGCCCAUGACUCCAAUUGCAGGCAGACUUCGUCCGAACUCCUACGGGAGCCAGACUCCGCCCACGACUCCAAUUGCAGGUAGACUUCAUCCGGACUCCUACGGGAGUCGGAUUUCGCCCCUAACUCCAACUGCAGGUAGACUCUACCCGGACUCCUACGAGAGCCAGACCUCGUCCCCAACUCUGGCUGCAGGAAGACUCUGCCCGGACUCCUACGGGAGC
rnacentral:lncRNA from 1 species